rnacentral:rRNA from 1 species
AGAUUGCAGGCUGCAACUCGCCUGCAUGAAGUCGGAAUUGCUAGUAAUCGCGGAUCAGCAUGCCGCGGUGAAUACGUUCCCGGGCCUUGUACACACCGCCCGUCACACCAUGAGAGCCGGGGGACCCGAAGUCCGUAGUCUAACCGCAAGGAAGGCGCGGCCGAAGGUAAACUGGUGAUUGGGUGAAGUCGUAACAAGGUAAC